rnacentral:tRNA from 1 species
CAGAGAAUAGUUUAAGGAAAAUACCAGCUUUGGGAGUUGGAGAUAGAGGUUUAAGCCCUUUUUUUCUGA